AAAAAACAAACAAACAAAAAAGUAUUAUGAUAGAGAGAUUAUCCUAGAUUACCUAGGUGGGUCUUAAACAUCACAAAUGUUCUUAUAAGAAGGAGGCACAAGGAGAUUUCAGACAGAAGAGGAGAAGGCAGUGUGAUCACAGAGGUAGAGAUUGGAGCAAUGUGGCCAUAAGCCAAGGAAUGUCAGCAGCCCCCAGGAGCUGGAAGGGGCAGAGAAUGUGUUUUCGUCAGCCCAGUGAUAACUCGUUUUGGACUUUUAGCCUCCAGAACUGUGAGAGAAUGCACUUCUGUUAAGCCACCCAGUUUGUGACAAUCUGUUACAGCAGACAUAGGAAACCAGCCAACAUUUAUUGCCCAUUCAAAUGAUACUAUGUACCAGGCACUGCACUAAGAGUUUUGCAAAGACGAACUCAUUUAAUCUUUCAACGCUUCUGUGAGGUUGGCAUACUCAUCCCCAUUUUACAGAUGAGAAAACGGAGAUAUAAAGAGGUUAAGUAAUUUGCCUGAAGUCACACAGCUGGUAAAUAGAAGAGCUGAAUUCUAAACUUGGGACCCAGGCAGUCUGGCCCUGGGGUCCACAGUGGUCACCACUGCGCUGUACUCCACACUGUACUGGGAGGGUCCAGGUUAGAACCAGUUUCCCUGGCAUCCCCCAGGAGUCCUGGAAAUCCCACACAGGACACAAGGGCGCAGGCAAGGGUGUAAGGUCAUGUCAUCUGCGUCCCACAAGGAAUGUCUGCACGGUCUCCAGCCUUCCUGCCGGUGGCCCUCGCUCUUUCCCUGAAACCAUGAAGGAAUGACCUUCAUCCCUAGUUUCCUAGGAUCCACAGGCAUCUCUCAGCCUUUCAGAUGUUCUCGUUCCUGCUGUAACCUCAGAUCCCAGAUGCUGUGAUCUUACAUUGGUCCCUCCCUGUCUCUAAAUAUUUUGGAUACACAGGGAAUAGAGGGGAGACACCGUUUACUGUUGCUCUCUACUAAAUUUGCUGUGUCAUUUAGCAUUUAUGAGCAAGAAUGUUUAUAAGGUCCUGGAUAUAAAUUGUGAAAUAGAAAUAAGAACUUGGGAGAAGGCUGUUCCUUUAUUCCUGGCAUCUUGAAGAGGUUGUUUGACCUUUUCUUUCCUGCCUGAUCCCUCUUCUCCACUGCUGUCCCUGCAGAGCUGACCUUCAGAGCAAGAAUUGGAUUAAAAAGUCCCCCACUUCCCGUCCCCUUGGCUACCCACAGCUUCCAGCCCAGACCACUGGGUAGCUUUCAUGGGCUCACGCUACCCUUGGAAAAGAGCAGAAGGCCUCUGGCUGUCACCUUGGAUUGCCUUUCAGUGUUGACCCUGAGUCAAAAAGGAGAGGCAGGAGAGUCUUUGGAAGUAGAAGUGGGACAGGUCCUCUUAGUAAAGCUAGAAGUGCUUGCAGUCAGGUGCUGGCUGAUCCUGCAAAAGCUGUGCCAGCUCAGGGCAAAACUGAAUGCUCUGUGUUCCUCUUCUCAGCCCAACCUUCCCUCUGCUUUCUUCCCUUAACCUGCUUCUGUCACAUAUGCAAGUCAUCUUCCGCUAGUAGUUGUGGCAUCACUGGAGUUUACCAGGGUAACUGCAGUUUACAGAAUCUUAGGUAACUUAAGUUAGACUGCUGAUUCUCAAGAAGGGUGGGGAGAGUAGCAGGAACCCUUGGGGGCAGGCAGGGGAAAUGAUAGGACGUGUGGCAUUUCCCAGGAGAGGGGAAAGCCCUGGUUUUCUUAAUGCAGUCUAUAGAAAGUACAGUUUGUGUUGAUCAAAAGUGGGAGUUGGUUGAAAAUAGAUUGAGAAACAGUGAAGUAGUUGAUAUAAUACUUUACUACUGGCUCUCAGAAAAGUUUAGAUGAACCAAGAUCCUCUGCCAGCUCCUUCCAUCGUUAGAAGAAUUCAGGUCCCAUAGUGAGCAGUGAAUACUUAUCAAGAGAAGGUAGGAUGGGACCAUGCAAAUGAAGUCUUCUUAGUUUAGCAGGUGUCUUCAGGGUCCUCCUUUUUUUUUUUUUUGCCUUGGGCCCUUGUGAUACCACGGCCCGAAGCCACAGUGAAUUAGCACCUGAGAGUCCCCUUCUGUCUCAAGAAGUCUUUGCCACCGUGCAUAAAGCUAAAAAGCUUGUAUCUUAGUUGAGGACUGUCAAAUGUGCCCAGAAUGCCAAAUAACAGAGACUUAAACACAUAGAGCUUUCUUUUUCUCAUGUCACACGAAGGAAAUAGGGAAUCCAAGGCUGGUGCAGCUGCUCAGGAGCAACCCUCAAAAACACACGCUCCUUCUAGCUUUUCUGUUCCGCCAUCCCUAGAUUUUGGCUUUCUGCUUCAUGAUCUUAAGAAGCGUCUAUAUUCUGAGCAGGAAAACAAGGCGGGGGACGGGACAGAGAGCAAAAGACACACGAGAGCCAGAUCUAUCCCUUUUAAAACUUGUUUUUAAAUAGACUUUAUUUUGUACAGUAGUUUUAGGUUCACAGCAAAAUUGAGCAGAAGGUACAGAGAUAAACCCCACACCCCACACACGCAUAGUUUCCCCCAUUGUCGACAUUCCCCAUCAGAGUGGUACAUUUGUUACAGUUAAUGAACCCGCACAUCAUUAUCACCCAAUCUACCCCUUUUUGAAUCAGGAAAAUUAUAGCUUUUCUAGAAGCCCUACCCAGCCAAUUUCUGCCUAGUUCUCAUUGGCUAACACUGUAUCUCAUGACAACUCCUGGCUACAAGGGCAUCUGGGGAGAGGAUUACUAACUGAGCACUUUCCCAAUCUGACAAAAUUGGGUUAGGAAGAAGGAGCGAGUACCAAAAUUAUAUAAAUCUGGAAUAGCAAAUAUGGAGAGGAAGAAUACUUCUAAGACUAUAAUAUCUAUCAUGGCCAUAAAAAGGUGUGGAAUUUUAGGGAGGGUUUUUAGAAAUUGUUUUGAUUGAAGGGUAACAUGUACACAAUAAAGAGUACCAAUCUUGGGGGUAAGCUGAUGACUUUUAACAUAUAUAUACAUUUGUGUGACCACUUGACUGGAUGAAGACAGAGACCAUUUUCAGCACCUUUAUAAGUCCCCUCAUGCCCACCUCAGUUAGCAACCCUCCCACCCCCGAGAUACCCACUAUUCCAGCUUCUACCACUUAGAGACGGUUAUUAACCGUCAUAAAUGUUGGAAGGGAAACAUGAUGGAUGGAGAAGAGCAAAAGGGAAGAAUAAGGCCAAACAAAUGGCUGCUUUUGUGAUAUUGCUGCUCUCCUUUGCCUCCUAAAUUAUUCUAAUUCCAUUUUGAAAAUGGCAUUUUAAAUGUCAUCAGAAAAAGUCAUCAAAAACUGAAGACCGAAAUUUUAGUUUUCUGUAAAGUUCAUAUAUGCUGAAACUUCCAUCAGUUAGGACUGGAUUCUAUUGCACAUAAUGUAACAACCCUAGGUAAUUAAUAGUGGUGUAAAUAAGAUAGAAUUAUAGUUCUCUGUCACAUAAAAGCAGCCUGAAGGUAUGUCGUCGAGGAUUGUGCUUGGCAGCCCCAGGAAUACUUCGGAGCUCUCUAGGCCUCUGCUCUUCCAGUCCUAGGUGGCCUUCGUCCUCGUGGUCAAAUGUGCAACCUGGAACUCCAGCCAUCACAUCUAUGUUCCUGGCAACAGAAUUGAGGAAGGGAAGAAGCGUUCACUCCUUCUCAAUUUAACAGACUUCUUAGAAGUUCCACACAACACUUCUGCUAAUAACUCACUGACAGGAACUUAAGUCACAGGACCACACCUACCUGUAAAGAGGUCUGGGAAAGUGGUCUUUUAGCUGCGUGCAAUGUGCUGUUAAAAAUCGGACUUUUUAAUAAGCGGAAAAACGGGUAGUCUCUUCCAAAUUGCACUUCUGCAACUUUUGCAGGUGAGCCUCCUCUUCCCGCAGUUCUGCCACCUUUGCAUUGCAUCCCCGGGGGCCUGUUGUGUGCCCAAGGAAGAACCCAUCUCAACCUAUACCAGAUCUGGCCUUCUCAGGGAAAACAACCUCAGCAGAUGGGAAAGAAUGUCCUACACAGAGCAUUGCAACCAGCCACACUAUUGUCAGGUUCUACGGCCCCUGGAGUCCCUCCUAGGAUUGGAUGAAUAUAAUUCAAACCAUGUUCUGAUAGCAGCAGUCAGUUUUGUCUUAGGGACACAAGGUUAGAUGUAAAUAGUCUGUUAGCACACCAGCCAGCUGUCACUGGGCCAAAUUUAGAUUACUUUUAUUUGUAUAUUUUUUGACACAGGUGUCAUCUGUUUCUCGGUCAGAUAACCUAAGCACAGCACUGUAGGAUAGGAGCCAGGAGCAUGGCCACUGAAGCAGCAGCCAUCCCACAUGGUUGGUGGAGGGACAGCCCCAGUUGUCCAGGAAAGCCACGCUGCUGUAUCCUCAGUGCCCAGUGCAGCUGAGAACCGUGGGCCACAGAGUAUGCUGCUGUGGAAGCAGAGGUGAGACUAGGUAAACGCGAAUGCAGACGCGUCUGGACUGGGCCGUUGAAGGGGCGGAAGUGGCAGGUCCUGGCAGCAUUUGGCUAAGGACAUGGAUGAGGCUGCCAGGCCGGUCAUAGAUGUAGAGAAUUGUGGAAUCAAGUGAGGCUCUCUGAGAAUGUUCUGCUUGAGUUGAGAAAAACUAGGAUAAAGCACCUCCCUGAUAUUAUGUGCCUUUUCCCCACCCUUGACUGACUGAGCUUCUACCAUUUGCUUCUUUGAAACAUCUGUCAGUGCUUCCUUGCCCUCUCCCUCAUACGAGGGUUAGUGACGUCCUCGAUGCAGUAAAGAGUCUACUUGUCAGAAAUCCCAUCCUGUGUCUCAGGGAGGGGCUGACUACUCAAUUGCCCUGAUUCCUCUCCUUGUUCUGGGAGAGACAGCAGUGAGUACUGGCUUGAAGUGAAGCCUGAGUUCCCUGCCCAGGAAUUGGACCUGGGUAGCCUGGAUGAAAACCAGGAAUCCUAGCCGCUAGAGCACCCGGGACGAGAGGCUAGAAGCAAGGUUCCCCUGGCUCUUGCCCCGUUUGAAAAAUGAAUUUCUCAAAGAGACAAAAACUGUAAAAUCCGGUACCAAGUUUAUUAUUGAAGACACAGCACAACAGGUGGGAGAGCACACAGAGAAACAGUUUAUUUAAGACAGAAGCAAGGCACAAAUACACACCUGGAGAGAAAGAGUAUGGGCGUCCUCCCUAAUGAGAAGGAGUGCAGUAAAGAGGCGGUUAAAUCAUUUACAUAGCGGCAGUCCUUCCGCGUCAUUGUUUCCCUUUGGCCAAUUAUCUCGUUUCUUUUCCACACCUGACCUGCCCUAGGACCCACCCAAUACGCGUGCGCGUCUUUUUGCCAAGAUGGAUUCCAGCACAGAGGCCUGUGGGAGGUUUGACAACACUUAUUAUGGGGUGGUGCCCCCUCCCUUUUUGACCCCCGAGGAGCCUUCCUGUGUAUGUGCAGCUGGGGAGGUUUCCCUGACCUCAGGAGUGAUAGAUGUGGCCGUCUUAAUCUCUUUACUCAGCAGGGCUCAGCUCCUGCCACUAACUUUGCCCUUGGAGUGUCCAGGGAAAGCAAAGCUCCGAUUUACCCUGCUUGACAAGCUCCAGCUGCUCUGCCCAGGGGCCCAUCUGCCUCCUACCUCAUCCUGACCCCUCAGACUUGCCGCUUCUACCUUUCCUGGACAAGAAGUGUUCCUACAAGGAUUUGGAAGUUUCAAAAGUGCCCUCCUGCCACACGAAGGUUGUUGAGGAGGACAGUGGUGGCUCUGUGUUGUCAAGGUGUCAGGAGGGCUCUGAACCGGAAGGGAGCUGUCAGAUUCUGACUGGCUGCAGAAGUUUAUCGGGACAUAUCAAAGCCCCGGAGAGGAAGCACCAGUGCACAGGGUAAGGCCUCAGGACCUUUGAUGACUGGGAAGAGGAACUCUGGUGAAAGGUAUGGCAUCGUGGAGAGGAAGCUCACAUGCAUACAUUUGUGGGAAUCACUCUGAGGUAUACUUGGUUGAGCUGGACUUGAGAUGCUACACUGCCCACUCCCACAAUGCAGCUGUGUGCGGUCACUGAAGCUUUGUGAUUCUGUAAAACAACUUGGUCUGAAUUCCCCUAAGACUCCAGCACCAGUGAUGUCCCAAUACUGGUGACUUGGGCCACAGAAUGGAGAUAAAAGAGAGAAGGCAAAAAGCACAGGUUCUGACCUAUUCUUUGCUUGUACCAUCAGCUAAGAAGCUCUUACAGGCACAUCCAACCUCCAUCCUUUCGCUCCACAAGUAUUUGAGUGCCUAUUAUAUGCAAGGGACUAUGCUAGGUUUUUUCCUAAGGACGGACUUCAAAAUAGUCAUUUCCAGAAGAGGCAAUCUUACCUAGACUCAAUACUAACAUCCCAUGAGAAGGGGUGGGGUCACCCCAGGAGGCACUGCCCUUUUCUAAGCUGAAAGGGGGGGGUUCCCGAGAGAUUCCUGACCUGGGAAUCAGCUGUGCAUGGCGGGGGAUGCGGAUGGAGAAAAGAGGCCCCUCCCUUAGCAUUUUAAGAUAAUGAGAGCAACCCUAUCUGGCAAUCUCGACCUUUCCAGUAAGUUUCUGUUGCCAAUCAAAUGCAGAUAGUAAAACGGCACAAAUUACUUUGGUAGAGAACUAUGUUGCCUUCGUCUCCUGUGUAUCAUACUGAAAUGUACACACAUAUCAUGCAUGGCCUAAUAAUAAGUGUACUGGUCAGAUGAAUUACCACAGUGAACACAUUCAUUUAAAUAAAUUUUAAAGAAAAGAAACAUUUACCAUCUUAUUUUGUGCUUUCUAUUUUCCUCACCUUUUAAUAUUUCUUUUUUUUUACUUCUUUAUUUCUUUUUUUACUUCCCUUGCCAUCCUUUGGCAAGGAGAACCAGGCUUGGAGAAUAAAUGAAGCUGGGCAGCUAGGACCACAUUAAAAUUCAUGCCUCUGACCCAGUCCAAUAAGGAUACAGGAGCCCUUCCCUCAAACACACA